CAUUUUGCAGUAGUGGGGGCUCACCCCCACCGGAGAAGUAGUACAGUCUGGCAGGGUGCCAAACAUCCCCACAGGCAUGAAGGUUCUUAGAGUCAUGCUAUACUGAAAAGACACUUGAUCAAGAGAACUCUGGGAGAAGCAGAAAACCCUGUGCCAGGGACAGGAAAGAUAGGAGGCUGAAGUGUGAUUGUUUCAGACCAAUGCCUCAGAGAAAUAUGGAGUUCCUUUUAUUUGGUCUGGACAUAUAGGACUCAUUGAAGGAAAAAGUCCCAGACAAAGAGUGAGAGGAAGAGCAAAGAUCAUUUGAGAAACUGAGUAUGGGAACAAGGUUAAAAUGAUGUCUGCUUUUAAUUUUAAAAUUCUUCCAAGGUGGUAAAAUAUGCAUUCAGGCAGCUCCAAGUCUGAAAAACACCUAAUGCACCUUGACAUUCAAC
rnacentral:lncRNA from 1 species